rnacentral:rRNA from 1 species
CCUACGGGAGGCUGCAGUGGGGAAUAUUGCACAAUGGGCGCAAGCCUGAUGCAGCCAUGCCGCGUGUGUGAAGAAGGCCUUCGGGUUGUAAAGCACUUUCAGCGGGGAGGAAGGCGUUAAGGUUAAUAACCUUGUCGAUUGACGUUACCCGCAGAAGAAGCACCGGCUAACUCCGUGCCAGCAGCCGCGGUAAUACGGAGGGUGCAAGCGUUAAUCGGAAUUACUGGGCGUAAAGCGCACGCAGGCGGUCGGUCAAGUCGGAUGUGAAAUCCCCGGGCUCAACCUGGGAACUGCAUUCGAAACUGGCAGGCUAGAGUCUUGUAGAGGGGGGUAGAAUUCCAGGUGUAGCGGUGAAAUGCGUAGAGAUCUGGAGGAAUACCGGUGGCGAAGGCGGCCCCCUGGACAAAGACUGACGCUCAGGUGCGAAAGCGUGGGGAGCAAACAGGAUUAGAUACCCCAGUAGUC